AAACGUUGAGGUCCGUGGCGUUAUUUUGGUGAAAAAUUAAUUUUACAUGUUAAUAAACCUAAGAAACCUGAAUACCCUUGUGGGCUAAGAAAUUCUCAGUAAUUAAUAUUAAAGAAUAAAACAGUUUUUGAUUUAGUUUAUAUUUUAGAAAUGGACAAUAGCGUGCCAGCAGCCGCGGUUAUACGCGUAUUUCAAAUCAAAAUUUGCACGACAAAAUUUCCUUUAUAAACUGAUAGCUGUUUACUUAAUUUUAUAAGGUAAAAUUUAAAAACUAAGAAAAGAGCUUAUUACUUAAAGGGACAAAGAAUUUUAAGAACCAGGAUUAGAUACCCUGUUACAAAUUUAAAAAGAAAUUUUGGAGGAAUAUUAUUUAGUAAAUUUAACGGAUUUGGCGGCAAAAUAUCCCAUCUAGAGGAACCUGCCCUAUAAACGAUACCCCACGAUUAAUUUUACUUUUAUUUGUAAUCAGUUUGUAUAUCGCUGUUGUUAGUUAGCUUCUUUAGAAGACUUUCCUUAAUGAUAUAUUCAUUGACUUCAAGUAAAGGUGCAGCUUAUAUAAAAGAAAGAGGUGGGUUACAAUUAAUAGAAUAGUGAAUUUUUUAAAAAAAAUGUAAAAAUUAAUGAAAAUGGAUUUAGAAGUAAUUUUUUAUAAAUAAUUUGAUAAGAGUAUUAUUUUGUGUACACACCGCCCGUCGCUCUCCUUUUUAAUGGGGAUAAGUCGUAACAAGGUAAAUAUAAUGGAAAUUGUAUUUG
rnacentral:ncRNA from 1 species